rnacentral:tRNA from 1 species
GCCCGGAUGGUGAAACUGGUAGACACAAGGGACUUAAAAUCCCUCGGCGCAAGCUGUACGGGUUCGAUCCCCGUUCCGGGCACCA